UACGUAGGGUGCGAGCGUUAAUCAGAAUUAUUGGGCGUAAAGCGAGUGUAGACGGUUAUUUAAGCCAGAUGUGAAUACCCGAGCCUAACUUGGGAGGUGCAUAUGGAACUGGGUAGCUAGAGUGUGUCAGAGGGAGGUAGAACUCCACGUGUAGCAGUGAAAUGCGUAGAGAUGUGGAAGAAUACCGAUGGCGAAGGCAGCCUCCUGGGAUAACACUGACGUUGAGGCUCGAAAG
rnacentral:rRNA from 1 species